GCGACGGCGCCCCUCGCUCGCCGUGGACUGUCGGCGGCGACUACAAUGUAAGGCAGCCAGCCAAGUACGUAUGAUUUAUUCUCUGUAGUAUAUAUGAAUGAGGUCGAGACUUAACUAAGCAUUGCCAUCAUGAGGCCAUGGGUUUGGAAUUGCUUGAUUUGAUCUGAUGUCUGCUUGCUUGCUUCCUCUGACGAAAUGUCGAGAUGUCAAGUGUGGUGCUGCUGCCCAGAUAUCAGAUAUAUUCUCAUUCUGGUUGUGCCUAGCAGAGUAGCAGUCAAAAUGUCAAAUUACAAGACAUUUGCACGAUUUAUGGUCCUUGCAUCUUGUUACUCUGGUUGUGCCUAGCUGAGUAUUAGUUAUGCAUAUUCGCCUUUAAUUACGGCAAUUACUACCACCCAAUUGAUUUCCCACAAUCGCCACCCUUCAUUGUUUCCGACAAAUAUCUGGAAUCAGUCUGCAGUGUAGUUGUUGACAAUGCUUGUUCGUGGUGACAGACUUCGCAUAUGCUCUUUCAUACUCCCUCCGUCCCAAAAAGCUUGUCUUAGAUUUGUUAAGAUACAGAUGUAGUGUCCCAAAAAUCUUGUCUUACAUUUAUCUAAAUACGGAUGUCCGUAAGGUACAGAUAUCUGUACGUAGACAAAUCUAAGACAAGUUUUUUGGGACGGAGGUAAUAGAAGAUACGGCACCACACAAAGUUUUAGCCUUCUAGAGUCAGCAUUCUUGUUAUGUGAGGAAAUCCUGAAGUGGACGUCGUUGACUAGGUCUCUUAGUUAGGGAAAUUAUAUGUUGACGUUUCCUAAAGAUUCCCAUGGAACCAAGUUACCUGGAACUGCCACCUUAGCCAAUAUUCUGAAAGUAGAACAUGUCAAAUAAGUUCCUUCCGUCUUACUUGCCUCAAAUUUUCAUCUUUGGGGCAUUUAUUCUUAAACCUGAGAUGUCACUUUACGGCAGAGCAUGUAUGUUCAGUUAUUUGGUCGAUUGUCAUUUUUUCUUAUCUGUUAGUAACACUAAAUUUGCCACAGUCAGAUGGCAACUUCCCCCCACUAGCUGAGUGGACUAACAGUUUAACUAAUAAUACAUCACUUAUUCAUUUUGCAGUGGCCAUUCUAAUAAUAUUUGUGAAGGCCACCAGCAAAGACAUUAGCAAUUCUGAGAAAUAAUGGCAGAGAUUGUAAUUCUUCUAGCCAUUAAAAAGAUCGGAAUCGCCUUGGCAAGUAGAAGGGCAAACCAAGCCAAAGUUCAGUUUGGAAAGUACAAAGCACAACUACAAGAGCUAC
rnacentral:lncRNA from 1 species